GGUCUGAGCUAACUGGCCAGAACCUACAGUAUGCACCCAUUGCAAUUAAUUUUGAAAUGUACAUGAAACAGUUUCACACCAUAGAAUAAAACAAUCAUAAACAAAGUAACUUUAUUUCUCAUUUCUAUUACAGGCAUCAAAGUGAUAUACAAGAACUGAAGCAAAAAUGUUCUUGCUGUAACAGAUGUAUUGUAUCAUGAUAGUUAACAUUGAUGUGUAUGAUCUUAUUUGGGUGUAACAAUGUGUAGUAAUACAGUAUCUGUAGUAGUAAUCUGUUAUCGCUACCAAAAGAAAAUUGAAAAGAGAUAAACAUGCCAGACAGCCAAAGUGAUGUCACAGCUCAUCAGCUCAUGGGACUACAAAGUGAUAAUUAUACUAGAAUAACUUGAUUAUACAGUUAGUUCAAACUGAUUGGGUCAUUCAAAAAAAUAUCCACACCCCUAAUGGAAGAGAUGGGAGGUUCAGCUUCCUCCCACUUUUGGACACCCUUAGCUAAUACUUUUACUAUUAUCAGCAGUUGAGUUCUGCCCACUUCAGACAGCACUUCAGACAUAUGUGGAGUUAGUGUUUAUCUUUUCUGGAAUGACUCAUUGGUGAUUGGUAGUUAAUAAUUAUUCAUUGAAGAAUUUAAAUUAAAAUAAUACAAUUUCAACUGCAUCAUUGUGGUAGAUAAUU